rnacentral:rRNA from 16 species
AGUACGGUAGGGGCAGACGGAAUUUCCGGUGGAGCGGUGAAAUGCAUUGAGAUCGGAAAGAACUCCAACGGCGAAAGCACUCUGCUGGGCCGACACUA